GAGUCUUCUGAACUCCAAACCACUGUGAACAUACCACUGUUCCUUUAGCGGGUUCCCGGCCUCGGCCGCCCCGCCGGAGGAUACAAACUCUGUUUUCUAACGAAUCUUCUGAGUCUUAAAAUAAGCAAUCAAAACUUUCAGCAACGGAUCUCUUGGCUCUGGCAUCGAUGAAGAACGCAGCGAAAUGCGAUAAGUAAUGUGAAUUGCAGAAUUCAGUGAAUCAUCGAAUCUUUGAACGCACAUUGCGCCCACCAGCACUCUGGUGGGCAUGCCCGUCUGAGCGUCAUUUCAACCCUCAGGGCCCGUCCGCGGGACCUGGCGUUGGGGAUCAGCCUCCUGGCUGGCCCUGAAAUCUAGUGGCGGUCCCUCCGCGACCUCCCCUGUGCAGUAGUAAUACCUCGCAGCGGGAAAGCGGUUCGACCACGCCGUAAAACCCCCACUUCUCAAGGUUGACCUCAGAUCGGGUAGGAAUACCCGCUGAACUUAAGCAUAUCAAUAAGCGGAGGAAAAGAAACCAACAGGGAUUGCCCCAGUAACGGCGAGUGAAGCGGCAACAGCUCAAAUUUGAAAUCUGGCCCUAGGCCCGAGUUGUAAUUUGCAGAGGAUGUUUCUGGCGACGCGCCUUCCGAGUUCCCUGGAACGGGACGCCAAAGAGGGUGAGAGCCCCGUCCGGUCGUGCGCCUAGCCUCUGUGAAGCUCCUUCGACGAGUCGAGUAGUUUGGGAAUGCUGCUCUAAAUGGGAGGUAUACGUCUUCUAAAGCUAAAUACCGGCCAGAGACCGAUAGCGCACAAGUAGAGUGAUCGAAAGAUGAAAAGCACUUUGAAAAGAGGGUUAAAAAGUACGUGAAAUUGCUGAAAGGGAAGCGCUUAUGACCAGACUUGGGCCCGGUGAAUCACCCAGCGUUCUCGCUGGUGCACUUUGCCGACCCAGGCCAGCAUCAGUUUGCCUCGGGGGAUAAAGGUUUCGGGAAUGUGGCUCCCUCGGGAGUGGAUAGCCCGUUGCGUAAUACCCUGGGGC
rnacentral:rRNA from 1 species